AACAAACGCUGGCGGCGUGCCUAAUACAUGCAAGUCGAACGGGGAAAGCUUUCGGGUGAGUACUAGUGGCGCACGGGUGAGUAACGCGUGGAUAAUCUGCCUUAGAGUGGGGGAUAACUAGUCGAAAGAUUAGCUAAUACCGCAUAAGACCACAAGAACUGCGGUUCAAGAGGUCAAAGGUUUUUCGCUCUAAGAUGAGUCCGCGUAAGAUUAGCUAGUUGGUGAGGUAACGGCUCACCAAGGCAACGAUCUUUAACUGGUCUGAGAGGAUGAUCAGUCACACUGGAACUGGGACACGGUCCAGACUCCUACGGGAGGCAGCAGUAGGGAAUAUUGCACAAUGGAGGAAACUCUGAUGCAGCGACGCCGCGUGAGUGAUGAAGGCCUUCGGGUCGUAAAGCUCUGUCGCAGGGGAAUAACCCAAUGAAUGUACCCUGUAAGAAAGGAUCGGCUAACUUCGUGCCAGCCGCCGCCGUAAGAC
rnacentral:rRNA from 1 species